rnacentral:lncRNA from 1 species
ACCUUUUUAUAAUUUUGAUAGUUUUUUUCUUUUUCUUUUGUUUUUCUGAGACAGGGUUUCUCUGUGUAGCCCUGGCUGUCCUGGAACUCACUCUGUAGACCAGGCUGGCCUGGAACUCAGAAAUCUGCCUGCCUCCCUCUGCCUCCCAAGGGCUGGGCUGGGAUUAAAGGCGUGUGUCACCAUGCCCGGCUUAAUUUUGAUAGUUUUGCUAAUGACUGUCGGUGUGCCCAAACAUCUGUUUAUGUAGAUCCUAUUUAGUCAAAGAAAAGAUUAUUGGACACACUUUUCUUUUUUAAAAAGGUUAAAAGGCUUUUUGUUUAAUUCAUGGAUAUUAACUAGAAAUUAAUUCUUUGGAUAGUUUAAGGCCCACAGUAUAUUAUUAACAAUGAGGUUUAAUUUUUAAUUGUAUAUGCCAGCCUAGGAUAAAUAAUCUCUAUGUUAAAGCGUUAAGACAUAAAAUGUUAUUUUAAAAAAUUGUAUUUUUUGUGAGUCAGGAAAAGAAUACAUUUCCAAACUUCAAGCUUUCAGGUUGACAGUUUGAAGUGUCCUUAUAUAUUUUCUCCUGGAGAGGCUGAUUUGGAGUUGUGUGGUUUACUUUUAAAGAGAAGUUUGUAAUUCCUCUGUCUCAUAAGGUUAGAAGUUUAGAGGUCUUUUUUUUUGGGGGGGGUAUGGGCAGAGGUGUGUUAUUGCUUCAUUAUGAAUUGAUAACUAUUCUGCAUUGAUUUUUAAAAUUUUACAUAGUGUAAAUAACUGAGGUCAGUGCUGAAGAAGCCAUAGAAUAAAGUAAUGAUGGCAGCACUUCUCCUAGAGGAGGUGGAAGGGAAGGAUUGGAAGAGAGGAGAAGUAGACUCUCUCCCAAGGGGCAACUUAGUUGUUUAGUGGGCAAGCAGUGUUUGUUACCACCAAGUAUGUGUGGGUGCUGUAGUCUUGUUUUUCCUGCCUGAUUAUAUAAUACAGGGUAAUAUAGGCAAUUUGGAAAAUGAGUUAAGAGGAGUAAAUAAUGUAUGUGCAGCAUUGAACACACUCCGCAGCGUGCAUGUGUGUAUUAUACCUUAGAUAAGGUACAUCACUUACACCUUAAGAAAUGUAGCUAACAUUUCCCCAGGGCAUCUCUUUUCCCUUUAGCACUCACUGUUGAGCGAGCUCCCCUUAUUCCAGAAUGCCGGGGUUCUGAAGUGCUUGUGAUUCUGUGUUUGGAGUACUAACACAGACUUGAGCAAUUGAGCAUCUUUUAUUAGAAAAGCCUAACAUGAAAGUUAGUCAUUACCUUCAAGUUUUUGCCCUGCAGUGUACAACUGGAUCAUACGUUUAGGGACCAAGUAGUUUAUUUAGCAUUGUUUAGGUAUUUGAAGUGCUGGGGAUCAAAUCAAAGGCUUCCCACAUGCUAGGCAGGUAUUCUCUACUGUGGAGCCAUAGACCACAACCCUGAAGCGGUCUUAUGCACUGAUGGAUGGGUUUGAAACCUCAGAAGGACCCAAAAGUAAUUUUUUGACUGUAUGAAAGGUUUUUUGACAAAGUUUUUAAUAUCGUCCUGACAUCAAUUUUAUCAAUUCAUAUCAUACCAACUAUGUAUGAAUUGCCUACUGAAUAUGGUUGUAUAAAGUUAUCCUAAAUUUUAAAACAUAAAUUUUAAAUUCACCUUUUUAAAUUGUUUGAAUUUUAAAUACGGUCUUUUUCCUCCUUGUGCUCUUCAGCUUCACCAACAGAGCAUAACCACACUGGGCUGUAACCCAGCCCUGCUUCCUGCUGAGAGAGGGAGCUAAGCCAUAUGUGAUAUCACACAAAUAUGUACUGAAGUUAAUAUACAGAAACACUUCUCCAACAUUGCUCAAGUGGUUUUAAUGGGAAAACUUAACUUUAUAGAAAUUUAAAGAACAUUUUUGAGUAGUUUUCUGUAUCAACUAUUAAUGCAAAAUAUAGUGAAGACAGUAGAUGCUAAAAUCAGAAUCCAGUUUUUAUUAUUAAGCUUAGGGUUUUUGGAGGGCUUUAAAGCCAGUUUGAUACCUGCUUGUAUUUGGAAUGAGUGACUUGCUUUGUAGGGUUAGGUCAAGGCCAAGUGACUUAACUCUGUGUUACUAGUUUAUUAAUUCAUUUGAUAAAUAUUAUUUUAACUCCUUUUCUUUGUCAGAUACUGUUCUAAUAGAAUAUAAGGGUGCACAGCAUAGACUGUGGUGGUUGGUGGUCAAGUUAUGAAGCAAAAGAAAUCAAAGGUCUAUGGAGGAUGUAUGGCUAACAGGCCAGUUUUCCUCUCAGAGGGUGAAUGGGGAAGCCUGUGGUGAAGGAGUGGUUUUGUAUUUAUCCAAGUGAAAGACCUUUUAGGAAGGGACAGCAACGAAGAACAGAUAACCGUACCACAGGAGUAGUCUAGAUGUCUUACGAUU